rnacentral:rRNA from 1 species
GACGAACGCUGGCGGCGUGCUUAACACAUGCAAGUCGAACGAAGUGGCGAACGGGUGAGUAACGCGUAAUCAACCUGCACUUCAGCGGGGGACAACAGUUGGAAACGACUGCUAAUACCGCAUACUGAAGGAGGGGAUUGCGGCUGAUAAGCUAGUUGGAGGGGUAACGGCCCACCAAGGCGAUGAUCAGUAGCCGGUCUGAGGGGAGGAACGGCCAAAAUGGGACCGAGGCACGGGCCAGACUCCGACGGGAGGCAGCAGUGGGGAAUCUUCCGCAAUGGACGGAAGUCUGACGGAGCAAAGCCGCGUGAGUGAUGACGGGCUUCGGGUUGGAAAGCUCUGUUAAUCGGGACGCGGUACCGGAAUAGAAAGCCACGGCUAACUCCGUGCCAGCAGCCGCGGUAAUUC